UACGAAGGGGGCUAGCGUUGUUCGGAAUUACUGGGCGUAAAGCGCGCGCAGGUGGUCUUUCAAGUCAGUGGUGAAAGCCCGGAGCUCAACUCCGGAAAUGCCAUUGAAACUGUAAGACCUGAGGAUGAGAGAGGUGAGUGGAAUUCCCAGUGUAGAGGUGAAAUUCGUAGAUAUUGGGAAGAACACCGGUGGCGAAGGCGGCUCACUGGCUCAUAUCUGACGCUCAGGCGCGACAGCGUGGGGAUCAAACAGG
rnacentral:rRNA from 1 species